rnacentral:rRNA from 1 species
GGGGAAUCUUGCACAAUGGGGGCAACCCUGAUGCAGCGACGCCGCGUGAGCGAUGAAGCCCUUCGGGGCGUAAAGCUCUUUCGACCGGAACGAUAAUGACGGUACCGGGAGAAGAAGCUGUGGCUAACUACGUGCCAGCAGCCGCGGUAAUACGUAGGCAGCAAGCGUUGUUCGGAGUUACUGGGCGUAAAGAGUGCGUAGGCGGUUUUCUAAGUUCGGUGUGAAAUCUCCCGGCUUAACUGGGAGGGUGCGCCGAAGACUGGGAAGCUGGAGUGUGGGAAAGGCAGGCGGAAUUCCUGGCGUAGCGGUGAAAUGCGUAGAUAUCAGGAGGAACACCGGCGGUGUAGACGGCUUGCUAGACCAUAACUGACGCUGAGGCACGAAAGCGUGGGUAGCAAACA